rnacentral:misc_RNA from 1 species
UAAUAUCUCACUCCACCUUUGGUGAAGUGGACUUGGACUGUGCUGUCGUUCAUUCGUACGGCUCGUCUCGAAAUGCAUUGUUGCCUGCAGAGUCUUGCGCGGAGCGAGACUGGCGAAACGGUGUGAUAUUUAUAUCUGCGCUGAAGUAACCGGUUUUGAGCUGCUGCACCAGGAGCACUCUGGGCUUAAAAUGAAGAGGACGCGGUUUUGUUUCGCGACCCCAAUUUUUACUUUGC